UACGUAGGGGGCAAGCGUUGUCCGGAUUUAUUGGGCGUAAAGAGCGUGUAGGCGGCUUUACAGGUCCGUUGUGAAAACUCGGGGCUCAACCCCGAGCCUGCAGUCGAUACGGGCAGACUAGAGUGCUGUAGGGGAGACUGGAAUUCCUGGUGUAGCGGUGAAAUGCGCAGAUAUCAGGAGGAACACCGGUGGCGAAGGCGGGUCUCUGGGCAGUAACUGACGCUGAGGAGCGAAAGCGUGGGGAGCAAACAGG
rnacentral:rRNA from 1 species